CCUACGGGUGGCAGCAGUAGGGAAUAUUGCUCAAUGGGGGAAACCCUGAAGCAGCAACGCCGCGUGGAGGAUGAAGGUUUUCGGAUUGUAAACUCCUUUUGUUAGAGAAGAUAAUGACGGUAUCUAACGAAUAAGCACCGGCUAACUCCGUGCCAGCAGCCGCGGUAAUACGGAGGGUGCAAGCGUUACUCGGAAUCACUGGGCGUAAAGAGCGCGUAGGCGGGAUAGCAAGUCAGAUGUGAAAUCCUAUGGCUUAACCAUAGAACUGCAUUUGAUACUGUUAAUCUAGAGUAUGGGAGAGGUAGGUAGAAUUCUAGGUGUAGGGGUAAAAUGCGUAGAGAUGAAGAGGAAUACUGAUUGCGAAGGCGACCUGCUAGAACAUAACUGACGCUGAUGCGCGAAAGCGUGGGGAGCAAACAGGAUUAGAUACCCCAGUAGUC
rnacentral:rRNA from 1 species